rnacentral:rRNA from 1 species
UGGGAAUCUUCCGCAAUGGACGAAAGUCUGACGGAGCAACGCCGCGUGUAUGACGAAGGCCUUCGGGUUGUAAAGUACUGUCUUUGGGGACGAACGGUAUCUAUGUAAAUAAUGCAGAUACAUGACGGUACCCAAGGAGGAAGCCCCGGCUAACUACGUGCAGCAGCCGCGGUAAUACGUAGGGGGCGAGCGUUGUCCGGAAUCAUUGGGCGUAAAGGGCGCGUAGGCGGGUCAUUAAGUCUGGUGUGAAAGGCAGGGGCUCAACCCCUGGAAGGCACCGGAACUGGUUAUCUUGGAGGACAGGAGAGGAAAGCGGAAUUCCACGUGUAGCGGUGAAAUGCGUAGAUAUGUGGAGGAACACCAGUGGCGAAGGCGGCUUUCUGGACUGUAACUGACGCUGAGGCGCGAAAGCGUGGGGAGCAAA